AUGGGUUUCAUCGUGGUCUCUAAACCAAUCAGUGAUAGCGAAGAGCAGGGACCCUCCAACUGACUGCGUGUCUGUGUGCGCGCGUAUGAAAUGCGGGCGCUAGCGUACACGAAGCUACGUUUUCUGACAGCGAGCCGGUAGCUGCAGUUACAGAAAAUCGAGCGGCAUAAAUGGAAUUAGUUCCAAAGCCAAAAGCCACCGCGACGAUUUGGGAACAUUUUGGAUUCAAGCCACAUGAACGACCAACGAGCCGAACCCACUGGCUAGCGUCACCACAGAUGAAUCCAGGUUUCAUUCAAAUGGGCAGGUUCCGUCUCUGCCCUGAGGAACGUCAACGCCGGCUGAGGGAAGGGCGGUCCUUCUACUGCAGGCAGUUGGGUCAUUCCGUCAGCCAAUGUCACAUCAAAGUUGCCGGUGCCGGUAACAAGGGCAUGGAAGCGGUCAGUCUUUGACUACGACCUACUACGGUACCAACAGACCACGGGUGCCCCUAAAUCCGUGGGUGAUGGAAUUUUGCAGCGUUAAAUCCAACUGUUAACUUAUUUGUCCGGGUAAUGUCAGUGGAAAUUCACUUCUCGGGUCACAUUCACUGCAAGCAGACACCGGCGAAGCCGAACAGGAGAUGGAGGCCAAUUAGAGAUAAAGGGAAAACAGAUGGCGACCAGCGAAACGCAAAAGGCAAAGGAAACAAACAAUAUCUGCGACAGAAGGUCGGCAGCCGGCCGCUUAAGUCAAACGCUGCAGCCACCACACGUCUGCCGACAUG